GUGUCAGCAGCCGCGGUAAUACGAAGGGGGCUAGCGUUGUUCGGAAUUACUGGGCGUAAAGCGCGCGCAGGCGGCCUUUCAAGUCAGGGGUGAAAUCCCAGAGCUCAACUCUGGAAUUGCCUCUGAGACUGUGAGGCUUCGAGUACGGGAGAGGUGAGUGGAAUUCCCAGUGUAGAGGUGAAAUUCGUAGAUAUUGGGAAGAACACCGGUGGCGAAGGCGGCUCACUGGCCCGUUACUGACGCUCAGGCGCGACAGCGUGGGGAUCAAACAGGAUUAGAAACCCUGGUAGUCC
rnacentral:rRNA from 1 species